rnacentral:rRNA from 1 species
AACGAACGCUGGCGGCAUGCCUAACACAUGCAAGUCGAACGAUGCCUUCGGGCAUAGUGGCGCACGGGUGCGUAACGCGUGGGAAUCUGCCCUUGGCUUCGGAAUAACAGUUAGAAAUGACUGCUAAUACCGGAUGAUGUCCCCCUGAGAGAUCUUGGGGACCAAAGAUUUAUCGGCCAGGGAUGAGCCCGCGUAGGAUUAGGUAGUUGGUGGGGUAAAGGCCUACCAAGCCGACGAUCCUUAGCUGGUCUGAGAGGAUGAUCAGCCACACUGGGACUGAGACACGGCCCAGACUCCUACGGGAGGCAGCAGUGGGGAAUAUUGGACAAUGGGGGGAACCCUGAUCCAGCAAUGCCGCGUGAGUGGUGAAGGCCUUAGGGUUGUAAAGCUCUUUUACCAGGGAUGAUAAUGACAGUACCUGGAGAAUAAGCUCCGGCUAACUCCGUG